CUAACUAGACUAUAUAAACUCUCUGGGGGGGGGUUCCACAUCUUUUUUUUUUAUCCUUUACCAUACCUGUAAUUUAGGGCUCAUUGUAGGCACUUAAUAAACUCUCGCUGACAGUCAUUAAUUUGGAGUACUUUUCAGAGUGAGUCCUGAUUAAAGUCACCCUGGAAGAAGUCUUGCCCGGGUCAAAAUGACCCUUGUGGAACCAACUGGAAAGCAGAAUCUGUGGUUGGCCAUGCAUUAUCCUAUACUGAUUUCAUAGGCACAUCCUCAUGCCCAUGGGCGCCCAGCCUCGUAAGGCUGGGCUCCGGGACUCUGCACCAGGAGUCUGUUCUUUGGUAUUAUUUUAAACUUAGGAUAGAGCUUACUCGUUUACAAGAGGGUUGCCCUUCACAGGUUUAAUGAGUGUGAAUAUCAUCCAUCAUCUUGAAUGGAAUUUUAUCCAGGAAGCCUUCUUUGGUUUCCUCACCUAGAAGUAAUCUUUCCUUCCUCUAAAUUUCAUUACACGUGAUUUCUACCCUCACGUUAUCCAUCACUUUCUUUUUUUAAUUAUUUUAUUUUAUUUUAUUUUUGAGGAAGAUUAGCCCUGAGCUAACAUCUGCUGCCAAUCCUCCUCUGUUUGCUGAGGAAGACUGGCCCUGAGCUAACAUCCGUGCCCAUCUUCCUCUACUUUACAUGUGGGAUGCCUGCCACAGCAUGGCUUGCCAAGCAGUGCCGUGUCUGCACCCGCGACCUGAACUAGCAAACCCUGGGCUGCCAAAUCAGAACGUGCACACUUCACCACUGCGCCACUGGGUCGGCCCCUAUCCAUCACUUUCUAAAUUUGUAUUACUCACACAUCUUAUCUCCCUUCCUAGACUAUGUGUUUCCUGAAUCAGGAUCCAUUCUUCAGUCACUUUGCUUCUCCUAGUGUGAGAGAACAGCUGCCACUGAUCAAGCAGUUAUUUGUAUGCCAAGUUAUUUAUUUCCACUUCACAAGUGGAAAAACUGAGGGCCAAAAAGAUUAAUAUCUAGUAUAGUAGAUUAAUCUCUAGUAUCCAGUAUGGUAGGUAUCUAGUAGGUCAUGCGGCUACUAAGUGAUGAAGCCUGGAUUCAAACUCAAGUAGUCUGACCUCAGAGUCUAUGCUCUUUAUUACUGGGCCCCAUAAUGCUUCCUGCACAUUGUGGGCAGUAAAGACGCAGUAAAUACUUAUUAAAUGAAUUCAUUCAUCAGUUAGCUAAUUAGUAAGACAACAAAAUGUUGGUCAGCUGUUAGGAGACCCAGUUUCAGAUACCUCCUCUGACCUAUAGCAUUAGAAAAGCCAAGGCUGUAAAGGAUUUAGGAGUAAAAUCAGGGGAUAUUCAGCGGUAAGAUCUGCCUCCAGACCACUGUCAAACCAAGUUCUACCAAUACUAACAUUAGUAACAUUAGAGUUAACCUAGGACACUGCUUCACAAUCCUAUGCAAACCCAGUGAGACUGAUAGAACUUCUUAAAGAGGAGAGGUUACACAUUUCGAAUAACUAAAUUACAUAUCUCUCUGAACGUUGGUGUUGUGUGCAUUAGGGGAAAAAGGCAGAUAUACACCUUCUAGGGUUACUAUAAGGUUUAAUGAGAUUAUGUGAAGUACCCAGCACAGUACUUGGUACAUAGUAGAAACUCUAUGCAUAUAAGCACUACCCUCCACUCCACCUGCAUUUCCCACUUCGCAGCUAAGCUGAAAGAAGGCGCAAAGCCAAAGGAGAGAUGAAUGGAUGACAGCUGGCAAUGAGAGAUGUUAGUCAAAUUCCACAGGAUUAAGUAGUUGUGAAUCAGAGGUGUCAAGGUCCACUCCCAAGAUUCCAAAUAGCAGCUCUUAGUCUUGCAAGAAAAUUUAGCCAGGAGAAGGAUAAGUGAGAGGCCUAUCAGAAGACAGAGGAAGUCGUUAUUCCUAGCAGAAGGGGAAAUUAGUUCUUGGGAUUCCCUCACUGUAAUGACUGACUGUUUUGUCGGCCAGGAUUGGAUUAACCUAAGGGUAUUCAGAGAUCUAUGUAUCUCACUGGGUCAUCUGUAUUUUACUGAGGAAUAGGAAGAUUAACUGCAGGCACCAGACUGGUCGUCCCACUUAACGUAACCCUGGAAAGUUCCUCUCGCAUUCCAGAAACUACUCAGCCUCUGUGAAGUUUGCCUAUCUGUCUGGCAAAAGACAGUUCAGGUCGUGUUUUUCACAAGCAAUAGAAAAAGCCAGUUUCAACAAAGCUAGGAGUUUGUCCUAAGAAUCUGGAGUUACUUAAGAGAUAUUUCAACAACCUGUGUCUUCAGUAAGGCUCCCCGGAAACAGACGCCUAAACAGAGAGAUGCAUGCCGGGUGCUGUGGUUUUUUGUUUUGUUUUGGUGGGGGGUGCUCUAAGAAACAACACCUGUAGGGGGAGUAAGGGAAACAGACUUGGGCAGAGGAAGAAGUUGAACUUUGAUGCCGUUGUAUUCAGCUAAGCCUACAGGGUGCUGGAUAUCAGUGUAAAAUGGUCUCCAGUAAAAGGAGCUGGGGGCCUUUGUAUCCCUAUGAGCAGUCAUCUGAUGCUGAUUGCCCCAGGGAGGGGUGUAACCUUGUGUAAGGCAGCUCCCUUGCUGAGGGCCGUCCAGAGGGGCACUCAGCUGUGAAUCACCCACGGCUAACGCUGCAGCUGCAGAAUCAGGGUAUCCACCAGAACCUGCUGCACAGCUAGUUGGUGUCUGCUUUUCCAUCAACUUGUAAAUUCCUGGAGAGGAGGACCUCAAGACAUUCUCCCUUGUUUUCUUCACAGCCAGGGAUGAUAUUGAAGAUAGUUAACACCCAGUGCAGCACAGGCACCAACCAACUCAAAUGGACGCUGGUCUUAGGCAAUUUGUAUGGCUAUACUAGUGGAUACAGCUGAAUAUUUGUUCUGCACACGGAAGGCAUCCAAUAAAAGAUCGUUGGAUUGAAUUUCAUUGGUUUGGUCAUCAUGGCCUUGCCACCUUUGUUCCAGAUAAAUGGAUCUGUAUGAGAGAAGCAGCUCUGGCACAUGCACACUUGCGGAUGCCGUUCAUCUGCUUUUCUCCUGGGACUACCAGGAAAUAAAUUAGCUAUCAGAUCAGAGCAAACCAAAAUUUAAAAGAUCAUAAAUGAAAAAUGAAUGUGUUGUUAUUUGACUUUUUUGUAUCGUUAUUCAUAGAUUUUCUUAAAGUAAUAAUCAGAGAACAUCAUCAACUAAAAUAUGUUUAUAACCCAAGUCAGUGACGAACUUGGUAAACACGGCAGAAUUACGCCCUCUCUUAAUUAGCCUUUGGGGAGACACCAAGUUUUGAACCACUGCUUGUAGCUCUGGGAAUCUUCUAAGAAGCAGGAGUAGAUUAACCUCUAGAAGAGAAAUAUGCCAAAAGCUGAUUUUCACAUAUGACUUGGUGAGUCUUAAACAGAAACAGGCUAACAUGCCAAAUAUGACCAGCUGAGAAGUAUCAACAUCAAAGGCAGAAAUCAUAAACUAUUUGACACAAACAUAUUAAAAAGUUUUACAUCAAGAAAUUAUAAAAAACAAAAUUUAAGACAGGUGACAAAUUUUAAAAUAUUGCUGCAUAUGUGACAGAGCUGAUAUCAUUAAUAUAUGAGAAAUUCUUACAGAUCAGUAAGAAAAAAAUGCCUCAGUAGAAAAAUGACCAAAGGAUAAGCAAGUCACAAAACAAAAAAUAAAAAAGGCUGAUAAACAUUUAGUGUCUAGAAUAGUGCCUGUC
rnacentral:lncRNA from 1 species